rnacentral:rRNA from 1 species
AGGAAGUAAAAGUCGUAACAAGGUUUCCGUAGGUGAACCUGCGGAAGGAUCAUUAAUGAUUAUGAAUCGUUGCCUUCAGUGCUGGUUGGCUUGCUUUUGCUUGCUUAACAAGUGCACGUUGGUGACUUUCAUCCAAUCUCCUGUGCACCUUUGCCUUUGCUAGCUUUGGCUGGCGAAGGAUUUUACACCCACUCGUAUGUAAUGAAAUAAUAAUUGUUAUUGUGCGCAAGCACUAAUGGCAUUACUAUACAACUUUCAACAACGGAUCUCUUGGCUCUCGCAUCGAUGAAGAACGCAGCGAAAUGCGAUAAGUAAUGUGAAUUGCAGAAUUCAGUGAAUCAUCGAAUCUUUGAACGCACCUUGCACCCUUUGGCAUUCCGAAGGGUAUGCUCGUUUGAGUGUCAUUGUACUCUCACACUUCUAAUCUUGCAAAGGAUUAGGAGCGGUGGACUUGGGUGUUGCUGCUUCACCGUGGCUCACCUUAAAUACAUUAGUGCAUCUCUUAGUUGGACAUAGUACGGCGUGAUAAGUAUCUUCGCCGGCACCUCAGUAAGAGGGUGGCUAACUGGGAGCUCUGUGCUUCAAACCGUCCAAGUAAGGACAAUAAAUGACAACUUGACCUCAAAUCGAGUAGGACUACCCGCUGAACUUAAGCAU